GGAAACAGCUUGCUGUUUCGCUGACGAGUGGGGGACGGGUGAGUAAUGUCUGGGAAACUGCCUGAUGGAGGGGGAUAACUACUGGAAACGGUAGCUAAUACCGCAUAACGUCGCAAGACCAAAGAGGGGGACCUUCGGGCCUCUUGCCAUCAGAUGUGCCCAGAUGGGAUUAGCUAGUAGGUGGGGUAACGGCUCACCUAGGCGACGAUCCCUAGCUGGUCUGAGAGGAUGACCAGCCACACUGGAACUGAGACACGGUCCAGACUCCUACGGGAGGCAG
rnacentral:rRNA from 1 species